UGUGUUUGUUGCACAGACUGAGGAAGAAUAUCUUGAAAUGAUGGAAAGCGAAGAUGUCAAAGAAAUGAAGAAAUUGCACAUGGAGUACAGAGAAUCUCUGGAGCUUGAUUUGCUGAACACUAUGAAUGAAAUCGCACAGAGCCGUAACGUUCAUAAACAAAAACAAGUGGUUUCAGAGGAGUUCACUUCAAGCACAAAACAAAGAUUUCAAGAAAAUGCAUCAAUAUGCAGUUGCAAGGUGGAAAACAGAGAAAAAGUUUGGUACAAUCAAUGUCAUUACAGGGCUUUUUGCCUAUCAAGCCAUGGGCUUAUUGUGUAAAAUGACAUGAAUCCUGUUCAAAUUCAUCUUGAUCUUCUGCUCUUUCAAAAUGCAUUCAUAUGUCUUGUAAACAACAUUUAAUUAGAAAAUAUUUAUCCGUGUCUGCUCAAGUUUAUAAAUGAAAGACAGUACAUACUUCUUCAGUUAGCUGAGGAGAUUUGAUCAGAGUGGCUUCAUCAGGUGCUGUAGAUUUCCUGGUAACUGACAAGGUUACAUACAGCAAAUCCACAUUAUCCAGCAAGCAAUGACAUUCUCUGACAUUCCUCCUCAACUUUGUGCUCCUUGCCUGUGAAUGCUGUUAAAGUGGGACAUUUAAACCUAAUCAGCUUUAUUCUUUAUUCUUUCAUUUAAAAAAAAAAAAAACGCAUGUGAUGAUAUAAAAGAGGCAUGUCAUACUGAACUUGGGUAAAUGAAAUACAAUUGUGUAUAUUGUAAAUGUGAUAUAUUUCGACCUGGUAUUUUAUAUUUUGAAUCAAAUUUGUAAAAAAAAAAAUUAAUGUGAACACAGCCUUGAGGUGGUCUCAUUAACCAACAGUGCAUUGCCAUUGGCACACUGAAUUUACCUGUCAUAAAACAAUCCCUAGACAUGUAGCACAUAAGAUUAAUAUAAUGUAUAUUUUUAUUGGCGAACUGAUCCAGUCACUAUAACGAUAAACAAUGUAUUUCAGAAUUCACUAAGGAAGAAAGAGAGUCAGGAGAAAAGGAAGGACGGGUCAGUGGACAAGUUAAUUGGAAUUUAAAAUAGUAAAUUUCAUAAGACAAAGUUGUAUUAUGUAUUUUAUAAAUUACACUAAAAACUAAAAUAUGUUAUACUCAUCUUGGACCUUUUAGGACAUUUCAGUGGUAUGCAUGUACAGGAAUCAGAUUGAAAUGUUUCACAGUUAUCUCAUAUUAUCUCAAGUGCAAUGAAGUGUCAUCUGUAUUUUUAAAGUAAUACAAAAUAUUCUAAAAACCACAUUAAUGCAGCUACAUAAAAAAGAAAAAUACUGUUGUUGUCCUUGCAAAGAAUUGCCAGUCAAUAUUUUGCUGCUAGUGGGGAUUCUGUAUAUUUGUGAAUUUGUAGAACCCAUAAAUGAAUGUUUCAAAAAAUGGUUUGUGUAGAUCACAGUGCCUACCUCUGUAUUUUUCUUUUCUACUGUCUAUAUCUACAUGUACAAUAAUGUAGUUAAACUGUGUGCAGAUCUUUUUUUUAACUCACCACCUGGAAUGAAGAGAUGUAAUUUGAUGUUACCUCACAAUGUAAUUUGUUUUGUUGUAAUAAACUUAAACUGUGCCCAGUUUAACUGUAAAACAUGAUGCAGUUUACAUUCAUUGUAAAACAUACAGAAAAUGAAUAUUGUUACC